AGUGAAUAGAUACCCCGGUAGUCCACGCCGUAAACGAUGAGUGCUAAGUGUUAGAGGGUUUCCGCCCUUUAGUGCUGAAAGUUAAACGCAUUAAGCACUCCGCCUGGGGAGUACGGCCGCAAGGCUGAAACUCAAAGGAAUUGACGGGGGCCCGCACAAGCGGUGGAGCAUGUGGUUUAAAUUCGAAGCAACGCGAAGAACCUUACCAGGUCUUGACAUCCUCUGAAAACCCCAGAGAUAGGGCUUCUCCUUCGGGAGCAGAGUGACAGGUGGUGCAUGGUUGUCGUCAGCUCGUGUCGUGAGAUGUUGGGUUAAGUCCCGCAACGAGCGCAACCCUUGAUCUUAGUUGCCAUCAUUAAGUUGGGCACUCUAAGGUGACUGCCGGUGACAAACCGGAGGAAGGUGGGGAUGACGUCAAAUCAUCAUGCCCCUUAUGACCUGGGCUACACACGUGCUACAAUGGACGGUACAAAGAGCUGCAAGACCGCGAGGUGGAGCUAAUCUCAUAAAACCGUUCUCAGUUCGGGUUGUAGGCUGCAAC
rnacentral:rRNA from 1 species